rnacentral:rRNA from 1 species
GUGGGGAAUAUUGGUCAAUGGGCGAGAGCCUGAACCAGCCAAGUAGCGUGCAGGAUGACGGCCCUAUGGGUUGUAAACUGCUUUUAUCGGGGGAUAAAGUGAGGGACGUGUCCCUUAUUGUAGGUACCCGAUGAAUAAGGACCGGCUAAUUCCGUGCCAGCAGCCGCGGUAAUACGGAAGGUCCGGGCGUUAUCCGGAUUUAUUGGGUUUAAAGGGAGCGCAGGCUGAUUAUUAAGCGUGACGUGAAAUGUAGCCGCUCAACGGCUGAACUGCGUCGCGAACUGGUAGUCUUGAGUGAGUUCGAUGUUGGCGGAAUUCGUGGUGUAGCGGUGAAAUGCUUAGAUAUCACGAAGAACUCCGAUUGCGAAGGCAGCCAACAAGGCCUUUACUGACGCUAAAGCUCGAAGGUGCGGGUAUCGAACAGG